CGCGUAGGCGGCUUGGUCAGUCGGAUGUGAAAGCCCCGGGCUUAACCUGGGAACUGCAUUCGAUACUGCCUGGCUAGAGUGUGAUAGAGGGUAGUGGAAUUCCCGGUGUAGCGGUGAAAUGCGUAGAUAUCGGGAGGAACAUCAGUGGCGAAGGCGACUGCCUGGAUCAAUACUGACGCUGAGGUGCGAAAGCGUGGGGAGCAAACA
rnacentral:rRNA from 1 species